rnacentral:rRNA from 1 species
UACGAAGGUCCCAAGCGUUAUCCGGAUUUAUUGGGUUUUAAAGGGUGCGUAGGCGGACUAUUAAGUCAGUGGUGAAAGCCCCCAAGCUUAACUUGGGAACUGCCAUUGAUACUGAUGGUCUUGAGUACAUUUGAGGUGGGCGGAAUGUGUCAUGUAGCGGUGAAAUGCUUAGAUAUGACACAGAACACCGAUUGCGAAGGCAGCUCACUAAACUGUAAACUGACGCUGAGGCACGAAAAGCGUGGGGGAGCAAACAGG